rnacentral:rRNA from 1 species
CCUACGGGAGGCAGUAGUGGGGAAUAUUGCACAAUGGGCGCAAGCCUGAUGCAGCGACGCCGCGUGAGGGAUGACGGCCUUCGGGUUGUAAACCUCUUUCAGUAGGGAAGAAGCGUAAGUGACGGUACCUGCAGAAGAAGCGCCGGCUAACUACGUGCCAGCAGCCGCGGUAAUACGUAGGGCGCAAGCGUUAUCCGGAAUUAUUGGGCGUAAAGAGCUCGUAGGCGGUUUGUCGCGUCUGCCGUGAAAGUCCGGGGCUCAACUCCGGAUCUGCGGUGGGUACGGGCAGACUAGAGUGAUGUAGGGGAGACUGGAAUUCCUGGUGUAGCGGUGAAAUGCGCAGAUAUCAGGAGGAACACCGAUGGCGAAGGCAGGUCUCUGGGCAUUAACUGACGCUGAGGAGCGAAAGCAUGGGGAGCGAACAGGAUUAGAUACCCUGGUAGUCCAUGCCGUAAACGUUGGGCACUAGGUGUGGGGGACAUUCCACGUUUUCCGCGCCGUAGCUAACGCAUUAAGUGCCCCGCCUGGGGAGUACGGCCGCAAGGCUAAAACUCAAAGANAGUGCGNGNGAGNGCGACGACGACGACGAGAGGAG